AGCAAGGGUGUAUAGGACUUCUGAUGUCAAGAGAAGGAGGUGAACCACUGACAAAAGUUAAAAGAUCUCUACACACGAGUCACUUGCAUAUUAAGAAAGCCACUUGAAGGUGCAAAAUCUGGGCGGUGAGGGUUUUGUUCAAGUAGUUGGGAUAGGAUUAUUUAGUGUGGCUGCUCAGCCAGUGAGUGGGGUUCUGGAUCUUCUGUCAAAAGCUACCAAAGUUGCUGAUGCAAUCAGAUGAAAAUAGCUUCAGCUAUAACUUCUGAGGACCAACUCCUUAGCAGACGACUACCUUUGUCAUUGGUGAUUUGGAGGAACACAAAGCAAAAGGACAGGAUAGAUCAAGUGCGAUGAGGAAGCAAGCUUGUGUCAUAAGGCUCAUCCCUGACACUCCCCAGGAAGCAGAGUCGGCAACUCUUGAAGCAAUAUCAUAGUAAUUCAAUCUAAUGGAAAUUCAUGGCCAGGUUCCCUUAUUGCUACUAUUAUUGGGAAUCUAAAGAUAUCAAUUAGCAAUGUACAUAUAAGAUAUGGCGAUUUGGUCAGUAUUCCAGGACAAAUCCUUUUUGUUCCGGUGCCACUUUAGCCAAGCUUGCUGCUGUUAUGAUGGAUGAGGAAGGGAAUGAAACAUUUGAUAGCAGUGGUGAUCUUGAUAAGUUGCGAAAGAACAUUUGGAAGGCUAAGGUACCUUGUACUGGCAAGGUUGGCAGUUGUGAUGAUAUUCAAUGGAGGAGACGGAUGUUUGUAUAUUACCUACUUGAUGUGUGGUUUAAAGAGUUAACAAAAACUGAAGG